rnacentral:misc_RNA from 1 species
UAAAAUACAACAAACCAGCUUCUACGUAGCAGAGCGAAGAGUUGGAUGUACGACUGUGCAGAUAUUUGUGGAGCAGACUUCGAUAUUAUUGUUUUCUUUGUCUUAGUCCACAAUGUUUACGUGUAAAAUGUUAAAACUUUCAGCAAACCACAUAAAAAAUAGUUGUGGUCGGUUAAAUCUUCCUGCGUACUUGCAUAACACUGGUCCUUGUUCAUUGACAGCAGUACCGAAACCCAGGGCGCAAGAGUACGAUGGCCCAAGCAUGAAAACAGAGUGUCCUGGCCCAAAAUCAAAGGAACUAAUGAAAAGAUAUGAGAAAUCCAACAAAAAUAUUAAACAUGUGCAGUUUGUUGUUGACCUUGCAUCAAGUCUAGGCAACUAUGUCGUGGACGUUGACGGCAACCGUAUGCUGGACAUUUUCAUGCAAAUUUCAUCGUUACCUUUAGGUUACAAUCAUCCAGCUAUACUUGAUGCUAUGCAAGACCCAGCUAACUUGGUUACAAUUGCCAAUCGUCCAGCAUUAGGUGUGAACCUUCCUGAAGGAUACCCUGAAAUAAUAGAAGACAUUCUAAUUCCGAUUGCUCCAAAAGGUCUUGAGAAUGUGCAGACAAUGAUGUGCGGGUCAUGCGCAAAUGAAAAUGCUAUGAAACAAGUGUUCCUGUGGUAUAAAAACAAUAAAAGAGGAGGAGCACCAGUUACAAAAGAGGAAAUGGAUUCUUGUAUGGUUAACGAGGCCCCUGGCAGUCCACAGUUCACGUUUAUGUCCUUUAACGGCAGUUUUCAUGGGCGUACUAUUGGUUGCUUAUCCUUGACUCACUCCAAGAUGAUCCACAAGCUUGACAUGCCUGCGAUGGAUUGGCCUGUUGCCCCCUUCCCAUCGCUCAAGUACCCACUGGAUAUGCACUUGGCAGAGAAUCGUGCUGAGGAAGAUAGGUGCUUGGCAGAGGUGCAAAGACUGAUUGAUGAAUAUGCAGCUAAGGGGAGAGAUGUAGCAGGUCUAAUAGUGGAACCUAUCCAAGCAGAAGGAGGAGAUAAUCACGCCACCCCCUACUUCUUCCAGGGACUUCGUAACAUCACAACCCAGAAUGGUAUGGGGAUGGUUGUUGAUGAGGUGCAGACAGGAGGAGGGUGUACUGGUACAAUAUUUGCUUCUGACCAGUGGGGCUUGGAUAACCCCCCAGACCUUCUAACAUUUAGUAAGAAAUUAACCGUUGCUGGUUAUUUCUACAAGACCGAGUUUAGCCCAGACCAGGGUUACCGUGUUUUCAAUACCUGGAUGGGUGAACCAUCAAAGAUGAUUCUGCUUGGAGCAAUUUUGAACACAAUCAAAGAGGAAAACUUGCUUGAAAAUGUGAAAGAAACUGGAAAAAUUCUGAAUGAUGGUCUGGUUCAAUUACAGGAAGCCUAUCCUCAUAUUUUCAGCAAAGCCCGAGGUCAUGGGACGUUUCUUGCAAUUGACUGCACGGACGCUAAUACAGCAACUCAAAUAUCCGCACUCAUGAAAACCCAAGGUGUGAAUGUCGGCUUGUGCGGAGCAAAAUCUCUGCGAUUCCGUCCUGCUCUUACAUUUAAACCGUUCCAUGCUGACAUCGUUCUGGAUGCUUUCGAUAAAGUCGCCAAGAAACUGUGAAGAAAAUUAUGAAAAUACCAUCUUUUUACACAUAGGGUGGGGGAUGAGUGAUUAAUAUUGUUGCAACAAAUAAUCAGUGGCAUAUGGAAGGGUGUUGCGGUGAGCGCCCCACCCCCAAAAUCAUGCUCAAGUAGUAAAAAAUCACCUAAUUUUGCGAGCUGGGGCCCCUCACUUUCAUUGAUCCCCUCCCUCAUUUUAAGUCUCAUACAGUACAUACGUCACUGACAAUACUACUAAUAAUGGAAAUGAAGCCAUGCCUACACCAAUAGGGGAUCAGUAAGGUUGAAUAGGUCUUCUGUACUUUCCCUAACCAAAAUUGCUUUACAAAUUUAAUG